rnacentral:tRNA from 1 species
AACUAGAUGACUGAAAAAUAAGUAUUGGUCUCUUAAACCACAAUAAUAGUAAGGUAAUGUUUACUUCUAGUAA